AACGAACGCUGGCGGCGUGCCUAACACAUGCAAGUCGUACGAGAAAUCCUGGGCAACUGGGAGAGUAAAGUGGCGCACGGGUGAGUAACGCGUGGGUAACCUACCCUUGAAUUGGGGAUAACUCCGCGAAAGCGGGGCUAAUACCGAAUAAUAUGCCGAUUCCCACGGGAGUUGGUAUCAAAGAUGGCCUCUGCAUGCAAGCUAUCGUUUAAGGAUGGGCCCGCGUGCCAUUAGCUUGUUGGUAGGGUAAUGGCCUACCAAGGCAACGAUGGUUAGCUGGUCUGAGAGGAUGGCCAGCCACACUGGAACUGAGACACGGUCCAGACACCUACGGGAGGCAG
rnacentral:rRNA from 1 species